CUGUUUCUCUGUGUUGAGAGAUGACUGGAUAUAUAUAUAUGUAUAUCCGACUGGUGAUAAGCCAGCCUUACUGUGACUUGCUCAUACAUUAACAUGAUCUUUAUGAUUACUAUUUGAUACAGAAGUUGAUUACUCUAAAGUUGAUCAUCAGUGUGGGGGAGUUAAGACUUGAGAGAUCAUCUCAGCGCUCAACCCCCAUGUGCAUGUAAGUUGACCGAUCCUCAACGUUGAUUCUCCAGUACUCCAACGAAACUAGUUAUUACUUGUUUCACAAGAGUCCUCUAUAUACCUUUAAUUAUCCCCGUACUUCUGGCAGAGCCUUUCAUCGCGUCAUCACCUGCAAAACUGAAGGCAUAUGCAAUCAACACAGAGAGGCCAGACAUGUUUGUUGCACACUCCCAUAUUGGACUUUUUACUUACAUUAUCAGGCUGAUUUGUACAUAGCAACUCAACUCCUGAGUUCCUGAAAUCAGGAUGUCCCAUUUGUCUUCCUAUGGCAAUCAAAUCAUCACCCACUAGACUCAGAUUGAAUGGAAUAAAGCAAAUACUGCUACAAGCUAAAUCAUGAUUGC
rnacentral:lncRNA from 1 species